GCCCAGGUGAUGGAACUGGCAUACAUGUACGGUUCAGGGCCGUAUGGGAGCAAUCCCGUGGGAGUUCAAAUCUCCCCCUGGGCA
rnacentral:tRNA from 1 species